rnacentral:rRNA from 1 species
GUGGGGAAUCUUAGACAAUGGGCGCAAGCCUGAUCUAGCCAUGCCGCGUGAGCGAUGAAGGCCUUAGGGUUGUAAAGCUCUUUCGCUGGGGAAGAUAAUGACUGUACCCAGUAAAGAAGCCCCGGCUAACUCCGUGCCAGCAGCCGCGGUAAUACGGAGGGGGCUAGCGUUGUUCGGAAUUACUGGGCGUAAAGCGCGCGUAGGCGGAUUGGAAAGUUGGGGGUGAAAUCCCGGGGCUCAACCUCGGAACUGCCUUCAAAACUCCCAGUCUUGAGUUCGAGAGAGGUGAGUGGAAUUCCGAGUGUAGAGGUGAAAUUCGUAGAUAUUCGGAGGAACACCAGUGGCGAAGGCGGCUCACUGGCUCGAUACUAACGCUGAGGUGCGAAAGCGUGGGGAGCAAACAGGAUUAGAAACCCGUGUAGUCC